UGGGAAAAAAAUUUUGGCUAUGACAUAUCCAAUAAGGGUCUAGUAUCUAAAACCUACAAAAUACUUCAACACCUCAAAAACAAAAAGACAAAUAAUCCAAUUAAAAAAUGCACAAAGAGAAGCCGGUGGGAGCUUACGGACUUCUGUUGCUCGUGGAAGAUUCUUCAACCAAUCACUAUGUCAUCCAACACAGAUGUUUCUCUUUCUUCCUAUGAUGAAGAUCAGGAAUCCAAACUUAUCCGAAAAGCUGAAGAGGCACUGUUUGUCCCCAUUGGAAUGGAGGGUUUUGCAGCAAUAGUUUUAUGUGGAUUAUACAAAUUGAAGAGCAUAGGAAAUACUAAAAUGUCCACCCACGUGAUCCACACGCGGGUGGCAGCCCAAGGCUUUGUUGUGGGAGCAGUGACUAUUGGUAUGGGCUAUUCUUUGUAUCAGGAAUACUGGGCAAAACCUAAGCCUUAGAAAAAGACAUACUAUCUUCGUCUUGUUAGUGUUGCUUGAUUAGAUACCUCAUUUUGAAGUUACAUGUUUAUGUUGAAAAUAAACGAUUUAAGUGGGUUCAGACAAGAACACAGUGUUUUGAAUAUAGGCUUUCUUUAUUACAGGCUUGACUAGCCUAAUGACCAAAUUGCUAGUACCUAGGUCACUCACUAGGUCAUCAGGGGAGUCAAGUUAGCAAAAAGAAACUUGCCUCCCAAAUUCACUUGACAGCGAUAAAAUACCCACAUUCUUAAACUCUUAGGAUGAAAUUAGUUCCAAAAAAGACAGCAGGCCAAUGCCGAAGUCCUUCCAGUUGCUGCAGAAUAUCACAUGCUUUGGAUGUCAUGUGAGAGUGCUGUGUACCCCAAUUAAUUUAACUUUUUUCUGCCUGCCUUGUGGACUGGUUGAGUACUUCAGUUUCUAGGGCUAGCUGACUCUUGAAGAACCCUUUCAGAAAAGUGGAUGGAAUAUAACAUAUUGUCCCCCACAACUGAAAACGUGUGUGUUUAAAUUAAACCUAAAAAGCUGGUAACAGCUGCUUAGAAGUAGUAUUUAUUUUAGAAUCAUACUUACACACAUGCGAAUAACUUAAUUAUGGGUUCCAAUUUAACUCUUUUGUAAUUGUAGAAUUAUAUUUUUGCUGCUGUCAUAUUAGAAUAAUUUUUAAAUGUCAUCUUGAAAUAGAAAUGUGUAUUUUAAUUGCUAAUCCAAAAGUAAAUGAAGAGCACUUUUAAAAAGAAAAAAUGGGAAAAGAAU